AUGCCAGGUCUCGGUGAUGUUGUGGUUGUGGUGGGUCCUCCAGUGGUGGUGCUGACCUCCAGGGGUGCUGUGGUGGUGGUGCUGUCCACCGGAUCUCCUGCUGGUGCUGCCGGCGUCCGCGUCGCUGAGCUGCUGCUGCUGGCGUCGACUAUGACAUGCUGCCCCUGCCUUCUUCGACUGGGACCUCUCCUACAGCACUGUGUCCCCACCGGCAUGCCACAGAAGGUUCGUUUUUGGAUCAAGUCGGUGCUUUUGGAGAAUGAGAUGGUUGUGAGGACUAAAAGGAACAAGGGCUUGACAUGCCUUGCUCGCCUACUGUCUAUGCGGCUCAUCGCCUCUGGCUGCUUGGGGGUCCAAGUUCUCGCAGCUGCUGCUGCUGCUGCUUUGGCUGUGGCCUAUAUAAUGUUUUGGUCCUGGUAA
rnacentral:rRNA from 1 species